rnacentral:rRNA from 1 species
CUGACGGAGCACGCCGCGUGAGUGAUGAAGGUUUUCGGAUCGUAAAGCUCUGUUGUUAGGGAAGAACAAGUGCCGUUCAAAUAGGGCGGCACCUUGACGGUACCUAACCAGAAAGCCACGGCUAACUACGUGCCAGCAGCCGCGGUAAUACGUAGGUGGCAAGCGUUGUCCGGAAUUAUUGGGCGUAAAGGGCUCGCAGGCGGUUUCUUAAGUCUGAUGUGAAAGCCCCCGGCUCAACCGGGGAGGGUCAUUGGAAACUGGGGAACUUGAGUGCAGAAGAGGAGAGUGGAAUUCCACGUGUAGCGGUGAAAUGCGUAGAGAUGUGGAGGAACACCAGUGGCGAAGGCGACUCUCUGGUCUGUAACUGACGCUGAGGAGCGAAAGCGUGGGGAGCGAACAGGAUUAGAUACCCUGGUAGUCCACGCCGUAAACGAUGAGUGCUAAGUGUUAGGGGGUUUCCGCCCCUUAGUGCUGCAGCUAACGCAUUAAGCACUCCCCCGGGG